GUUGUGGAGCCUUCGACACUGCAACGUGACGGGCCUUAUGGUGCACCUAGCCUGGCACGAGCGCCGUAGCGACUCCACCGCCACCCAGUGGCGAUCUUGCGGCUUUGGUUGUUGUUGGUGGUGGUUGGUGGUGGUGGUUGGUAGUGGUUGUUGGUGGUUGGUAGUGGUUGUUGGUGGUGGUGGUUGGUUGUUGGUGGUGGUUGUUGGUGGUGGUGGUUGUUGUUGGUGGUGGUUGUUGGUGGUGGUGGUUGUUGGUUGUUGUUGGUGGUGGUUGGUGGUGGUGGUUGUUGUUGUUGUUGGUGGUUGGUGGUGGUGGUUGGUGGUGGUGGUUGGUGGUUGUUGUUGGUGGUUGUUGGUGGUGGUUGGUGGCGGUUGUUGUUGGUGGUGGUUGUUGGUGGUGGUGGUUGUUGGUGGUGGGUGGUGGUUGUUGGUUGUUGUUGUUGGUGGUUGGUGGUGGUUGGUGGUGGUUGUUGUUGGUGGUGGUUGGUGGUUGUUGUUGGUUGUUGUUGGUGGUGGUUGGUGGCGGUUGUUGGUGGUGGUUGUUGGUUGUUGUUGGUGGUGGUGGUUGGUGGUGGUGGUUGUUGUUGGUGGUUGUUGGUUGUUGUUGUUGUUGUUGGUGGUGGUGGUUGGUGGUGGUGGUUGGUGGUUGUUGUUGUUGGUGGUUGUUGGUGGUGGUGGUUGUUGUGGUGGUGGUUGUUGUUUGGUGGUGGUUGGUGGUGGUGGUUGUUGUUGGUGGUGGUUGGUGGCGGUUGUUGUUGGUGGUGGUUGUUGGUUGUUGUUGUUGGUGGUGGCUGUGAAUGACACUUGGGUCGCCCGCUGCUCGCCGUGAAAGAUUCGUUCACGCUGCCCAGCGUGUCAUGCAGAGGAGGAACACUUUGAGGCAGGCCUUUGGCCAGGAUCCCGCUGCGGGCGAGGCCCCGGGGCCUGAGGCCCCCACGGCUUCCUGCUCACGGCCCCUGGGACCGCCGCUCAGGGCCCGGGGCUGGGCCCUCUCCGCCUACAGCCGCCUCGUCCCGGGCCCCGUGGCCCCCAGGCCUCCCGGGGCCCCCAUGCCUCCCGGGGCCCUCGGGGCCCCCAGGCCUCCCGGGGCCCUUGGGCCUCUCGGGGCCCCCAGGCCUCCCGGGGCCCUUGGGGCCCCCAGGCCUCCCGGGGCCCUUGGGGCCCUUGGGCCUCCCGGGGUCACGGUCGAGGCGGGCGCGGGGUCGCUGCAGAGGGCGGCAACGUGGAUGGAUUUUGAAUGCUCUGACAAGCGGAGGAAGCUUUUGAUGUCCAUCACCGAGUCUGGUAAUUUGUCGGUAAUGGAUGGAGAAACUGCACUGGAACAAUUUUCCAUUUAUCAAGCACCGUGCAUGACAAACUUGUGUCAUGUCUUUCAAAAGGAAGAAUGUGUUUUCUUUUCAACACAAGUUAAGACAGCAGGGCGGACGUUUCGAGUGAAGUUGUACGGAGAAACCAAAGAGCAAGCCCUGGAGCAGUGCUCCAGCUGUGUGAUGGUCCUCUCUAACUUCAUAAGGGUUCACAAGAUGACAGCGGUGCCUGCGGAGAAGCAAGUUGGUGGCGAUCUCACGAAGCCACAGCCCGUGACCCAUCAUCUACUGGAACCUGCUCGGCCCACUGGGAGUUUGCCUCAAGUGCACUUCUCAGAUGGCACUGCAUCCAUGAGUCAGCUUGCGAAGCUGACCUCAGGUGCGGCCAAGGCACCCUUCAGGCCCCUGGCGUCGCUGCAGUCGCCCAACUUCCCCGCGCAGCAGUUGGGGCCCUUGCUGCGACUGUGUGUGCUCGAUCCCAACUUCAUCGCCCUCGUCGAGCGUGUGGAGCAAGAGCUGGCCAAGAUCAUCGCCGAGGAUCCCUAGAGAGCUCCCGGGAAGUUGUAUUUACUCAUUCUAGAUUUGAAGCUUUCGUGACUGCAAGGCUCUUUUAGCCCCGCCCCCCCCCCCCUCCCAAUACGUUCCAUUCAUUGGCUACCACAUUCUGAUAAGCCCCCCCCCCUCCCCCUUAACUUGUAUUUAAGAACUUGCAUCUUGGAAUCCCUGCCUCACUUGAUACAGCAAAUCUGGCUGUGAUGGUCCCACCUGAUGACGGAGACUUGUGUUGCCUCCGAAACGUCGUGAUUUUUAUUAUUUUAUUUUUAUUAAUUUUAAUUUCAUUUUUUUACCUACGUGACUUUACCGAAAAAACUAAGAGUAUGUAUUUACUCAAUUAGACCAUUAGCACGAUGAGGAUGAUGAUGCUUUCCAAGCAUUAGCUUAUGGGCCAUAACCCUAAACCGCAGCCACAAAAACCACAGCAGAUGCAGAUACUGGAUGAUGCACAAGAUCAAAAACUCCAGUGUGCCGAUUGUGGUCACCCAGAAUGUAGAACGACUCAAUGCCCGCUGAUUCACAAAUAUACGAAAGAAGCAUCACAGCAUUACACCACUCCGCUGCUCCUGAUGCAAUUAUCUGGCUCAACCACCUCAGUGUAAAAUUCUAGUUGUUGCUCCGUAUCAAUAUCUUACAUUUAUCCUAAAUGUAAGAUUAACAUAUAGUCGUGCAUGUAAGUUGUGUAAAUCUUAAAUAAUUAAGAGGAAGUGCAUGAAUAGGUUUAGAGAAUAGAUAUGAAUGAAAGAAUGGAUGCAUCUUACGUGCACCCCUGGUAACAUUUUGACGGCAGGUCGAGCGAAUGGUGUGGCGUACACUUCGUGAUUGAUAGAAAUAAAUUGGUCCUCAAUCUCUCAUCAUAGUUCAUAUCUGGUCACUCACAAAUGUGUCCUUAACCUUACAUGUUGGGGAAAGACAUUUGACAGUUAAGCUUUACAAUUCAUGGUUUAUGCCAGUGGCAUAUGUUCAGCUGAGCUAAAACGAUUUACUCACCCCUCCACCACAUAUCCACCUCCCACCCCCUCCACCUGGCGAUUCGAUCAUUCGUCGCAAUUGAGGAUCACUUCAAUAAUUGGUUCAUGUCAUUUUCACCGCCUUGUUUGUACAUUUUGGUGGCUUAAUUAGCCGCAAGGUAACGUCCACAUAUAAUUAGCAUAAUUGGACAACAUCCAUUCGUACACACGUGGUCGAUACCUGUAAUUUGUUAUCCUUAAUUAUUGAUAUUGCCGAAUCAAUGCCAUCCUUCCACCCCCUGGUGAUCGGUUGUUUUUUUUCUACCAUAAACUUUUCAGACGGCUCCAUCUGUUGUUAAUAGCUUAUAUUGCAGUUUGACGCGAUGCGGUAUUUCAUCGUCGCUGUUAAUCAUCCCUUUCACGAUGUUACAUCUCAGAUAUUAAAAGCACGUCUGCCAAGUGGUGUGUUUACAUUUGGGUAAUUGCAGAGUUAAAUUUUUAAGGAAAUUACGCAUGCGUAACGUGCGUUUUUAGCUACAAAAUGUGUAACCCGCUCACGUUAGUUUCAAGGUGCAUUGAGGGAACAAACAUAUAGUGUGUAUUUGUCGACUCGUGGCUAUGAAUAGUUACGACUGGUAUGCAGUGACGGUAUUAUUUAUAGCAAAGUUAGACUGAGAAUAUUCCUGGUGUUGCAGUAUGAAUGUAGUGAACAAAUCUUGGUUGUGCAAACAGAUUUCUAUCACACGUUUAUGAAAAUGUACUUUGAACUUAUUGCACGUGCGAAAAUGUGUUCACGUGCUCUUCAGCAAUAGGUGAUGUGCAAAAGACAAGACAAGUAUUAUUAAACAAGAGCACUGCAUUGUUAAAAUAUGUCGCCCAUGUGGAAAUUCGUGUUCCUUUAUUCGGAUGUGAGAUUUUUUUCCCAAAAUAAAGCUCCCGAAUUAUUUAUUUGUAGCUUCUACAAUAAUUAUUUUCAAUGCCAAUAAUUAAACCCAUUGAAGUGUUUUUUCUUUCUCUUUUUUUUUGUUACGAGAUCACUAAUGACAUAGUCGGUGUUAAUUUUAACUCUGUAGCCCAUACCCCAGCAUGUAUGUAGCCAGUCACGUGUUCAGUGUGUGUGGCUUGUGCUUCACAAGUGGCAGCUGUCUUACUGUUCGGACGUGUCCAAUUUUAGACCCAAGUCAUUUCGUGUAGCUCGCGAACCCAAUGCAGCUUUGUGCAGUUUGCAAACCGAGUUAUUGACAAAUGUACUGAAUGUAGACAGCUGUGUGUGGCGUCAACUUCUUGUUGGUUGCUUGAAGAUCAACUAAAAUCACCCAAACGGACGUUCGGUUAGACCUUAGCGGUGGUGUGUAGAAGUACAACUCGCAGCUUCUGUGUGGCGAGCCUGAAAACUCGGCUGAACUAUUGCGACUCUGCGGCUAUCUUGGAAAUCGUCGCCGGGUUCCCGACUGUAGACCGACUUUAGAGACCUGCGCAAGGUACACGACGAUUGUUAUGAACGAGACGGAUGUGAUGCCCAGCGUGCGGAGUGAGUGGCUCCUCGGUGUGAAGGUGCAUGCGGUCGUCAUCGGAGUGGACUCCUAUAUUCCUCUCACGGAAAUCCGAAACAAGGUAAACAAGCGAAUGAAUGUCACGUGUGCUUAGAACUCUUGAUGCGUUUUUUUGGGUUGCAACGCAUUUUGUUCGGCGUGAUGACUGACGUUUGGCUCCACACGAUUGAAGCUUCUUUGGAUAUCGAUGCUGAAGCACGCGGCACAACCCAAAAAUACAUCGGAGAGCUGGACACUUACGCUUGCUAAAUUGCAGGGCCAUGAUGGUAACCGCUAGGGAGGCCUUCAUCCGGCAGUGGAUUGAUCAUGAUUGAUGGUGAUGUACUUGUGCUGCUAAUCCUGCUGCGUUGUGUCGAGACGACUGUGCAACUGCAACUUAAUGUGCCAUUUCGCAUGGAAUUACAAAACACGUCUUGUAUUUGGAAGCAGAAUUAUUGUAUUCACAGUGGGUCAGUAUAAGUGCAAUAUUUAUCAACACGCACAACCAAGUUUUCCGUGUAUUAGAUUUAAAUAAAUUGUGCACUUGGGCCAAAAAAAAACAUACAACAGAUUGUGUUUUGUUUCUUAAAAGUUUGCUGGCGAUGCCAAGUUCGUUACUUUGUGCCGGACACUGCAGUUGAUGAACUUUACUCUGCAGGUUUUAUUCAAGUCUUCAGCACGCAUUUAUCAAAAAUGUACACAGAUGAAUCUGAAGGUAUGUGCGGGAAAUUUCAAUUUCAAACAAUGCAGUUCUGACUUUGGUCAGUGGAAAAAAUGUUUACGGGGUGGUCCAAUUUUCUUUAAACGUAUAAUACAGUCCUAUAAUCUGUAUCUUGCAGUCCAUGUUUUAAAAAAUAUAUCUUCCCCCCCCCCCACAUUUAGAGUAUCAUUACCUGUCCUAGCCUGCAUUUUAAGCACUUGCAGAGACUCGGAGUGGUUGAGUUCAAUGCCAAGACCUGUCGGAUGAUCAGUAAGUUGGAGGCUGAGGUUCUCAUCCGCUCAUUCAGAGACCACAAUGUCAUCACAUCAAUGGCAUCUCGACUGCAGCUGCAGCAACAGCAGGAUCAGACCCACUCUGGAGCACCAGCUGUAGACCUGCGUGUGAAGGCAGCUCGCUCCACACGACCGCCAGACAGCCUGGGAAGUGGCCAGCUGCUACCUGGAAGUGUUGGAUUGCGAGAUGAUGUGCUGAGAACACCGGCACCAGUAGCUGCAACAGCUGUAACCAGUUCAACAUUCAAGUACUGCUCACCUUCCCUGAACCUUACACUGCCGUUGCAGCGCUGUGGAGACGACGGGGUACAACACGGCACCUUUGUCGCGAAGUUCUACAUUUCAGGUUCAGACUCGACGUGCAUCAGCUGCGACGACUGUGGCACAUUAUUCUCUCCGGCGGCGUUUGCCACUCAUGGGCAUGAUAAACAAGGCAGGUCCCUUACGACCAAAGCAGGGGGUUCUGAAACUCGCCACCGAUAACCCCACCACCGAGCAGCGGCAAAUGUGGCUCCGUUUCCAGCUUCAGAGGAAACGUCCGACCUCGUGCUCCCCCAUCGGAGGACUUCCCGCAGAAGGUUUUCUUCCCACGAAAUGCAUGUCGAUGGAUUUGUCGGGGGAUGCCGUGGAGGGCUCGCCUUGCAAGAUCUCGCGGCCCUGCUCGCCGCCUGUCAGCAGCCAGGGAAGCGCACAUGACACGGCGCUGGAGAGAGGCCAGGGUCCGUUGGGUACCCAUGUUGCUCGCAAUCGAUCAAUCAGAAAUAAGUUAUUGUGCGACUUUGGAUUAGAGGUGGUUAAACACCAUCUCUUGAAAGAAAUACAACCUGAACCGGUCACCGAUUCGCCUUCAAGUUCAUUUACAGCUAAUAGCACAUUUAACGAAGAGGCCAAUUGCACAGAAAAAAGCAAUUCUCGUGAAGAAUUUGCUCCAAGUUGGAAGGAGGACGUGAGGGACCAGAGGACUGCAGUAAUUUCAGAUUUGCCAUUACCCGACAGUAACAGUAAGGGCUGGAUGUGUCCCAGCAAAAGUGCAAUGUUGCCAAAAAGAUGUGCGAGCAUUGGCAACAUAGCCGAAUUUUACCCUACAGAAAAUCACGGGAAUGCUAUAUUUGUGGACACUCAAUUUUCACACCUUGGUAAGCAACCGCACGCCAAGUGUAAUUCUAGCUUCAGCUCCAAGCUUGCAGCCAGCUCCAGGCCCUGUUUGGUUAAGAGUGCCAACACUGUGGUCAAAGGUGGCAUUCAACUUCACAGGAAAGGGUCAGCAGAGUGCUCUGUCAAUGCGGACACUUAUCGUGGAGAACUCGGCCAGGUAAACCGUGAAACCGGCGAGUCUAAACACGUCAUGGCAGGCAUCUCUCACUACACUGGAGAAAAAAACGUAGAAAUACCCACUCCAGACAAACAUGUACAUGAACACGAAGAGCAAAGUGCCACCACAGCCCAUACGGCCACUUCCUGUAAAGUGGGUCUGGGAGAAUUCAACACCACCAAUGCAACAGUGUUGUCCAGGACUUCAGGGAGGUGCCGCACGGAGGGCGGUACAGAUGUCACGGACGAUCCCAUCAAUUUGCUGAAGGCUGCACAUACUAUGCUAGGAAUAGCAAUAACCCAGCUGCAGGAAGGCAAGUAUCAUUUUUACUUUGCACCAUUUCACAUACAGUAAACACACCUCUUGCUCACACUAUCUUGAGACCAGUUUACCCCGUCCACAAAGCAAACCAAUGUUGUUGGACCACAGCAAUCGAUGUGCCAGUAAAUAUUCCAUGCUAUAUUUUGUGCUGCCAAUAAUUUUUUUUUACAAGGGGCUAC